rnacentral:rRNA from 1 species
GAUGAACGCUGGCGGCGUGCCUAAUACAUGCAAGUCGAGCGAACAGACGAGGAGCUUGCUCCUCUGACAUUAGCGGCGGACGGGUGAGUAACACGUGGAUAACCUACCUAUAAGACUGGGAUAACUUCGGGAAACCGGAGCUAAUACCGGAUAACAUGUUGAACCGCAUGGUUCAACAGUGAAAGACGGUUUUGCUGUCACUUAUAGAUGGAUCCGCGCCGCAUUAGCUAGUUGGUAAGGUAACGGCUUACCAAGGCAACGAUGCGUAGCCGACCUGAGAGGGUGAUCGGCCACACUGGAACUGAGACACGGUCCAGACUCCUACGGGAGGCAGCAGUAGGGAAUCUUCCGCAAUGGGCGAAAGCCUGACGGAGCAACGCCGCGUGAGUGAAGAAGGUCUUCGGAUCGUAAAACUCUGUUAUUAGGGAAGAACAAAUGUGUAAGUAACUAUGCACGUCUUGACGGUACCUAAUCAGAAAGCCACGGCUAACUACGUG